rnacentral:rRNA from 1 species
CAGUCGCCGCGGGAAUACGUAGGUGGCAAGCGUUGUCCGGAAUUACUGGGCGUAAAGCGUGCGCAGGCGGUUUUGUAAGACAGGCGUGAAAUCCCCGGGCUCAACCUGGGAAUGGCGCUUGUGACUGCAAAGCUAGAGUGCGGCAGAGGGGGAUGGAAUUCCGCGUGUAGCAGUGAAAUGCGUUGAGAUCGGAAAGAACACCAACGGCGAAAGCACUCUGCUGGGCCGACACUGACACUGAGAGACGAAAGCUAGGGGAGCAAAUGGGAUUAGAUACCCCAGUAGUCCCUGUCUCUUAUAA